rnacentral:lncRNA from 12 species
AAGAGCAUAUGGGACUUGCAGAGAAAAAAUAUGGCUCCUCAACCCCUUUCAACCACAUAGUAUGGAAGGUUCCACAUGACCACUUAAAGGGGGCUUGGCAGAGGUUAGGGGAAGGAUGAGGAUUUUUUCAUGUGGAUUUCUUAUAGUACAUAUAAUGCAGGAACCACUCAUUUAGGUGAUUGAAAUAUACAUAAUAUAAAAAUUAUUAUUGGUUUUUUAUCAUAUAAAAUACAAGAAAUCCCAAUAUACUCUGUUAGUGUUUUUUGUUGAUUUCUUCUGCCGAUGUAAAUUGCUCUUGGGCGAACCCAGAGAGUUUUCUUGAGAUAAGAAUUCAAACAAAGUGUUCUUAGGCUGCGGGUCCCACAGCUGUCAUAGAUGGAAGCGAUGUUAUUAUAGUGGACACUGUGCCCUUUAUCAGGAGUAAUCCACUUUAUGGCAGCCGCGUCUCUAACUGAGGCCAAGGGAUGAAGACGCGGGGAGCUGUAAACAGAUGAUAUCCAAGCUUUUCAGGCAAGCUAAAGAUCCUCUGGCAAAGUCAAAAAGCUAUUCUUAUGUGUAUCUCUCUCAAGGUCUUGGGGAUUAGCCUUCGAUGUGUUUCUACAAAAGGAAAAUGUUAAGAAACAAAAUAAAGUGGAGAAGGGUUGGGAUUAAAGGGGAUUUCAUUCCAUUUUAAGCCCUAGAAAAACAUCACAUGUGCAAGUGAAUUUGAGAAAGUCCAGUGGACUCUUGGAUAAGAGGAAAUCUGCAUAGGUGGAGUUGGCUGGAAACGUGGAAGCGUUAAGGCUGCUGAUAGAUGGUGCCCAAUUGAAUGGGAUGGGCCACACAUCCACUUGGUUCUCUGCAAACCAGCUGCUGUCAGCUGACAGAUGCCUUCCUCACACAGGCUCUUGCUCAAGUGAUAAGAAGUGAAAAGAGCUCGAGGUCCUGUCAACUUUUUUUGUGCUCAGACAUUGAAGCAAAGCUUUUCCUGUUCUGUUUAUUUAAAGAUUCUGCAGAGAAUUCAAGGCAAUCCCCGGAGGAGCACACCACGUGAGCCCAUUAGGAGAACAGUUCACUCCCACCUGCCACCGCCAGCCAGCCAACGAUCUCAGCUUCCCCACUCUACUCCUGAUCCUGUCGAGUCAUCCCAUCCCUGAGUGGCAGGAUGGGCAAGGACAGCUGGGGGGCUCCACAUGCAUUUGGAGGAAGGGAACAUGUGAGGUGGGUUGCUCCAUUCUUCUACUCCUUUUACGGAAAGAGACAGCUGCAAUCUUGUGUAAGAAGUAAACAUAAGCCAACAGGGCCCAGGGCCACUGGGCAGCCAGCAGUGAGAUGUAUUUUUCCCCACUGAGGGCACCAUCCCAGUACCCAAGCUCAGUCCCCGCCCCAGGCACAGACCAAAGCAAGGACUUUGCACACCCAGUUCACUUGGCCAAGCCCUGUCCAAGAUGUGCCACUCAAUACCGAAUGAAAUGAAUGUGAUUCACGUUCCCCGGCUGGGUCAGCAGUCCAUCACUGCUCAUCUCACACAGUGGGGUCCUGUCCCGGCCACCUCUGUGUGCACUGCUCAAAAAUGCAGUGUUUAUCUUGGAGAGGCAGCAUCUUUAGGUUCAGGAGUCUGCAUCUGUGCAGAACUGGCUCACGGAGAAGUAGAUCUCCCCGUAUAGGAAAGUCAGGGUGUGUUUAGAGGUGCUCUCCGAUUCAGCUGUGGCUGGCUCAUUCCCUUUGUGCCCCCUUCCCUUUUGUUUGCUUAUACAAGAAAACAGUAUAUUCAUUUCUUCCUUUUUCCCACCACCAUCCCUCUUAAUGGCCAGGCCCAUCUGUCCAUCUGUCUGAAACCAUUCUUGGUUGCACAGUUUUGAAUCCAGGUGACAAUCAAAAUGAAGAAAUGAUUCUCCCUCCAUAUUUUCUCUGAAGGGAUGAAAAUGAUUAAAACAACAACAACAACAACAACACCCUUUGUUUGUGUGUUUGCUGCAUGUUCUCCGGUUGACAUACCACAGUCAGUGAACUGCCAGGAAUAAAGCCUGAAAGCAGAUGCUGUGCUGCUGUGAC